GAUGAAGAACGUAGUGAAAUGCGAUACUUGGUGUGAAUUGCAGAAUCCCGUGAACCAUCGAGUCUUUGAACGCAAGUUGCGCCCGAAGCCAUCAGGCCGAGGGCACGCCUGCCUGGGCGUCACACGUCGUUGCCCCCCCAUCUACUCCUUCGGGAUUGCGGGGGGCGGAUGAUGGCCUCCCGUGCGCCUCGUCGCGCGGUUGGCAUAAAUGCCAAGUCCUCGGCGACGCACGCCACGACAAUCGGUGGUUGCGAAACCUCGGUUGCCCGUCGUGUGCGGUCGUCGCGCAUCGAGGGCUCGAAAAAAUUGUCGGGCUCCGGCUCGGCUUUCAACGCGACCCCAGGUCAGGCGGGGUUACCCGCUGAAUUUAAGCAUAUCAAUAAGCGGAGGA
rnacentral:misc_RNA from 1 species